rnacentral:misc_RNA from 1 species
UCCCGAUUGGCUCGGGCAGUCUUGCUUGAAAAAUACAACAAACAACAAGGGUUGCGCUCGUUGCGGGACUUAACCCAACAUCUCACGACACGAGCUGACGACGGCCAUGCAACACCUGUCACUAGGUUCCCGAAGGCACAGCCCUGUUUCUAGGGCCUUCCUAGGAUGUCAAACCUUGGUAAGGUUCUUCGCGUAGCAUCGAAUUAAACCACAUGCUCCACUGCUUGUGCGGGUCCCCGUCAAUUCCUUUGAGUUUUAGCCUUGCGGCCGUACUCCCCAGGCGGGAUGCUUAACGCGUUAGCUUCUCAACACAGAGGGUCGAUACUCCAUACUAAUAGCAUCCAUCGUUUACGGCGUGGACUAC